GAUGAACGCUGGCGGUCUGCUUAACACAUGCAAGUCGAACGAACUCUUCGGAGUGAGUGGCGGACGGGUGAGUAACGCGUGAGAAUCUGCCUGUGGGUCGGGGACAACCACUGGAAACGGUGGCUAAUACCGGAUGAGCCGAAAGGUAAAAGAUUUAUUGCCCACAGAUGAGCUCGCGUCUGAUUAGCUAGUUGGUAAGGUAAAAGCGUACCAAGGCGACGAUCAGUAGCUGGUCUGAGAGGAUGAGCAGCCACACUGGGACUGAGACACGGCCCAGACUCCUACGGGAGGCAGCAGUGGGAAUCUUCCGCAAUGGACGAAAGUCUGACGGAGCGACACCGCGUGAAGGAUGAAGGCCUAACGGUUGUAAACUUCUUUUCUGAAGGAGCAUAAUGAGAGUACUUCAGGAAUAAGGGACGGCUAACUACGUGCCAGCG
rnacentral:rRNA from 1 species